AUGGAGUUUUGCCUUUAUUGCCUAGGCUGGAGCGCAAUGGCACGAUCUGGGCUCACGGUAACCUCCGCCUCUCAGGUUCAAGCGAUUCACCUGCCUCAGCCUCCCGAGUAGCUGGGAUUACAGGCAGGUGCCACUACGCCCGGCUAAUUUCGUAUUAACAGGGUUUCUCCAUGUUGGUCAGACUGGUCUCGUACUCACAACCUCAGGUGAUCCACCUACCUCAGCCUCCCAAAGAGCUGGGAUUACAGGCAUGAGCCACCGCACCCGGCCCAACCUGAUUUGACAUUUUACCUUCUUUGGGUUAUGUCCUCCUUCCUGGGUAGGAACUUGGACCUGCAGCCUCCCUCCUGCUAAACGGACUGAUCCUUGCCCUCACCUGACUGUUCUACCCCCACACCUAUUGCCCCUCCUGGAAGCAGAAAUGGCUUUGAUGGAAGGCAAUUGGGCCGCUGUGAGAGGACUCCACAAGGCCUUCCCGAGAUGUUCUCUGGGGUCACCUGAUUGUGGAAAAAUUGAGUUUGAGCAAAACUGGCAUGGCCGUACUGGAUGGAUCUCAGCAUGACCAGGGCAUAUUUGAGCUCAAAUCCACUGUGCCAAGAACACAUUCUGCCAAGGACCACCACCUCUUCCCACAACUGUGAGUGGGUUUAUGUCAUCACAGGAGGUGCAAAAACGUGUGGCGAGUCCCUGUUUAUACCUGGUCUUCCACAGAGCCUCACUUCAGUCUGUCCCAGAAGCUUACCGGAGUACUCUCUCAGCACAGGCACUCUCAGUACUGAAAUCUUCAUUGUUCAAACAUGCUUCAGGAAAAACAAAAAAAUGCAUUGUAUCUAGAAACCAGGGUCUGAAGCUGUGAAGGCAAAUGAAGCCAUGGAGGAUCUUUAAAAGGAUCUGGAAGCAGGUACCCAGGCCACAGUGUGAGCCGUUCUGUGCAGAGCUGCCCGAAACCCAACCCUCUGCAGAAAGGAGCCUCCGAGGUUCUGCUGCUGCUCCUUAGCCUUGGUAAAUUUCAGAUGGCUGAGCAUAAACCACCAGGGAUGCCCCAGGCCGCAUUUUACCUUUGUAUUUUUUCUUGGGGGAAAGCUUGCUUUCAAGGCCCUGUUAAAUUUCUUUAGUCCUUUCCCUGUAAUAUUGAGCUAUUAUUAAAAUAUUCCCAAACCUUGAUAAAUUUUUUAAAAUGUAAGAUGAAGGGUUUUUUUUUUUGCACUUCACCAUUAAUGAUUCUACAAAAUUGAAUUAUGGUGCAAACUGAUUUUGAACCUCCCAGACUUGAUGUACAGGCUAAUAUUCAGCGAACUCAGCAUUUCCCGAGAUCCCACUGGAAUUGAGAAGCUGCUGCUGACCGACUUUUCUGCUGCUCACCACGUCCCGGUGCCCCAUUAACAAUGGCCUGGGAGACCCAGGGGACUUCUGAAGCAUAGGGUCGCAACUAAGUAGGACUUCAAUUCAUGUAAUUGCUUUAGCCGUUGGUGGUUGAUUUAAAAUGUUAUACAAAUGGUAAAUAGUAGCCCUGAAUUCCCUCAAAUGACAUUUUUUUGAGUACUGUUCUAAGCAUAUCUCUUAUGUGUAAAUAAUGCUAAAGGUCUCAGCCUUUGAUUCUAUUAAUAAGGGAUAUACUUGUGGACAAAAAUGAAUGUGCAGUUUGUUUCAAGAUGGUGGAGGCAGCGGGAGGGAGGGUUUGGGCAGUUAAAAAUGCCAGGGAAGGCCGGAUGUGGUGGCUCACACCUGUAAUUAUGGCACUUACGGAGGUCGAAGUGAGUGAAUCAUUUGAGGUCAGGAGUUCGAGACCAGCCUGGCCAACAUGGUGAAAUCCCGUCUCUACUAAAAAUACAAAAAUUAGCUGGGUGUGGUGGCAGGUGCCUGUAAUCCCAGCUACUCAGGAGGCUGAGGCAUGAGAAUCACUUGAACCCAGGAGGCAGAGGUUGCAGUGAGCUGAAAUGGUGCCACUGCACUCCAGCCUGGGAGACAGAGCAAGAUUCUGUCAAAAAAAAAAAAAAAAAGGCCACGAAGGAAGUUUGUCAAAAAAUCCCUCACUUCCUUUCAAACUCUACUCUUGUAACUUUUGUAAGAAAAGUUCCAUCUCAUAUAAACUAGGUGUUUUGUCUUUAAACCUACCAUUAUUCCUCUUAACUUAAUAUUGAAGCAGCUGG
ensembl:lncRNA